rnacentral:rRNA from 1 species
AGCGGCGGACGGGUGAGUAAUGCUUAGGAAUCUGCCUAUUAGUGGGGGACAACAUUCCGAAAGGAAUGCUAAUACCGCAUACGUCCUACGGGAGAAAGCAGGGGAUCUUCGGACCUUGCGCUAAUAGAUGAGCCUAAGUCGGAUUAGCUAGUUGGUGGGGUAAAGGCCUACCAAGGCGACGAUCUGUAGCGGGUCUGAGAGGAUGAUCCGCCACACUGGGACUGAGACACGGCCCAGACUCCUACGGGAGGCAGCAGUGGGGAAUAUUGGACAAUGGGGGGAACCCUGAUCCAGCCAUGCCGCGUGUGUGAAGAAGGCCUUAUGGUUGUAAAGCACUUUAAGCGAGGAGGAGGCUACUGAGACUAAUACUCUUGGAUAGUGGACGUUACUCGCAGAAUAAGCACCGGCUAACUCUGUGCCAGCAGCCGCGGUAAUACAGAGGGUGCGAGCGUUAAUCGGAUUUACUGGGCGUAAAGCGUGCGUAGGCGGCUUUUUAAGUCGGAUGUGAAAUCCCCGAGCUUAACUUGGGAAUUGCAUUCGAUACUGGGAAGCUAGAGUAUGGGAGAGGAUGGUAGAAUUCCAGGUGUAGCGGUGAAAUGCGUAGAGAUCUGGAGGAAUACCGAUGGCG